GAGGAACGUCCGGGCAACAUAGAGCACCAUACUUCCUAACGGGAAGCUAUCCGUGAGGGUAGGUAGAUGUAACAGAGAAUGACAGCCACGGGAGCCAUGGCCCCCGUGGUGAUGGUGAAAAGGUGAGGUAAGAGCUCACCGGAGUGUAUAGCAAUAUAUGCUGCCGUACAUCCUAUGGGUUGCAAGGUCAUGUAAACCGACGCUACGAGGGUUGCUCGCCCCAUGUCGGAGGGUAGACCGCACGAGAUAGUAGGUGACUACUAUCCUAGAUAAAUGACAGACACUCCCUGAGAGGGGCGACCCACGGGGAGUACAGAACUCGGCUUA
rnacentral:RNase_P_RNA from 1 species